rnacentral:rRNA from 1 species
UACGUAGGGUGCGAGCGUUGUCCGGAUUGACUGGGCGUAAAGCGCACGCAGGCGGUCGUGCGCGUGGGGUGUGAAAUCUGGCCGCUUAACGGCCAGGCGCCAUCCCAUACGGCACGACUGGAGGGCUGCAGAGGUCGAUGGAAUUGCCGGUGUAGUGGUGAAAUGCGUAGAGAUCGGCAGGAACACCCAGGGGGAAACCAGUCGACUGGGCAGCACCUGACGCUGAGGUGCGAGAGCGUGGGGAGCGAACCGG